UCUGGCACAACCCAGCCUCUAUUUAAUGGGCAACUGCAGCCCAAGUUCAUGUCUUGUACGGGAGCUACAAUGGCCAAGUUAAGCAUUCUUCAGCAUUUGGAAUCGUUUGGGGGUGUGAGCAAAGAGAGACAUUUUCUUUCUGGAGGUUCGAAUCCAAUAUUGCACGGCCCCCCCAGAUUUGGGCUUUUGAUGAUGGUGACACCGAAGACUGAGAACCUCCCUGAAGUGAGUCCACCACUCAACAGUGAAGCCAUUGUACCCACUCCCCAUCCCGAUCUGUCCCUACUAGAACAUUUAGGCUCCUUUUGAGCAAGAAUGUCAUUGUCUUGCUUAUCCCAAUGCUUAGAAUAUAGCAGGGGCUUGAACAACAGCCAUUAAAGAAACAAGAGAAGAAGUAAAAAAAAAA